CGCCCGCUUCCCUACUCCUAUCUCUCUCUCUGGCGAUUCCAGAGAUCUGGAUAUAGGGUUUUUCGCCAGGCGAUUCAAGGUCUAGCCUCUCAUUUACACCAGAUCGAUAAACAAAUCUCAAUGCAUUCUCCAUUCAGAUCUCAAUCUCAUCUCACACCUGCUCUCUCUCUCUCUCUCUCUCUUCAACCUUGGUGAUACGGCUACUACUCAGAAGGAUCUUACGUCUGUUACUACCGUCAAUGUGUGGUGGUGGUUCUGCGACUCGGCAAUGAAAACGGAUGAAGAAACGAUUUUUGUUGUAGAUGAAGACACGAGCCAAUGAGGUUACACGACUAAGGAAUAUGACAACCAAAACUUUGCAGAUCUGAGUUUUUAGAGGAAUAUUAACAGCCCAGAUCUGUGUUCCGGUGGUUUCUACAAAAGUCACACGUAACAAGCAAUCUGGUCAAUCUGAGGGUUAUGGUUUCAUUGAGUUUGUUAACCGAGCAGCUGCAGAAAGGCAUCUACAGGCAUAUAAUAGUAUUUGAUGCCCAAUGUUGAGCAGCUCUUUACGUUGAACUGGGCUUCCUUUGGUGCUGGUGAAAGAAACCAAGAUGACACACCCGAUUACACUAUAUUUGUGGGGGAUUUGGCAGCUGAUGUUACGAACGAUAUCUUACUAGAGACGAGUUAUUGUAUUCUGUUUAAUCCUUCAAAUAUUGUCAUGUUCAUUUUUAUAACUGUGUGGCAAAUUUGGCUUGUUGGGAAUUAGUCAACACGGGUUUUUUUUUUCUGACAGAUCAAACAGAAGCUCUGAACAAGGGGGAGAUUCCCUCAACAGGGUCUCUUGUGGAGGUAUUCAACAAGAAAAUUGGUAGAGAUGUCUGAAGACAAAUUGAGAUCCCUUGUGAAGAAACGACAGUCUUUGAAUGAGGCCCACAUGAUGGUUGCUUGUGAUGUGACUCCUCUCCUCUCCAUUUGCUCUAAAGCUAUUAUCUAUGAUAAUUUUCAUUGGUGUUUGGGUUUAAAGAAUCGGGUCAGCUAUGCAUUCGGGUUAUUAAACUGGCUGCUAAAAAGUCUUGGGAAGUUUGGUUUAAAUCUUACCUUUUUAUCAUAUCCUGACCAUCUGUUUUUCUUGUACUUCAUCUUAUGGCUGACAUGUUAUUGGGCUACAUUUUCUGUAAAUUUGAAAGUUUCAAGAUUUUAUCAUGCAACAUUCUGGUUUUAUUAAUCUGAAAGCAGUUAUAAGUUAUUUGGAGCAUAAUGUCCAGCGAAGAUAUAUUGCGGAAGAAUGGAGGGUUGUAUUAGUUUGGCUUGUUUCCAAUGUGUAUUAGAGAGUUUGACAUUUGGGUGGCUUGUUUCCAAUGUGUAUUCGAGAGUUUGAUGUUUGUGUGUCCGUGACUUUUAGAUGUAAUUCGCACUUUGUAGGCCAGUUUCUGUCUGGUCGUUUUUGUUAUUUGAUUUAUUUUUUUUGCCGUUAAAA